rnacentral:sRNA from 1 species
AUACUACACAUGUCGUGUGGGUGAGAUCCUGCGUUCAGGUUCGAGCCGAGCGAAGCGAGACAGCAACGCGUC